rnacentral:rRNA from 1 species
AUCUGCCCUGGGUUAGUCGGGGCCUAAGGCGAGGCCGACAGGCGUAGUCGAUGGAUAACGGGUUGAUAUUCCCGUACCGGUGAAAAACCGCCCAUACUGAUAUUGUGAUGCUAACCAUGCGAAGCAUGAUGUGCAGGCUUUUGUUUGUGUGUUGUGUGGGUUGUGGGACCCGAUCUUUGGAGGUAAACGUGUUAACAGGUGUGACGCAGGAAGGUAGCCAAGCCACGCGAUGGUUGUCGUGGUCUAAGCGUGUAGGGUUGUCGGUUGUUAAAUGCGCCGGCUGUGUGCCUGAGACGUGAUGGGACCCCGUUUUUGGGGGAUUUGGUGAUCCUAUGCUGCCGAGAAAAGCAUCGGCGUGAGGUUUUAGCCGCCCGUACCCUAAACCGACACAGGUGAUCAGGUAGAGAAUACUAAGGCGAUCGAGAGAAUCAUGGUUAAGGAACUCGGCAAAAUGCCCCCGUAACUUCGGGAGAAGGGGGACCUUGAGCGUGAUGGGCACUUGCUGCCUGGAGCGUGUAUGGGUCGCAGAGACCAGGGGGAAGCGACUGUUUAUCAAAAACACAGGUCCGUGCGAAGUCGUAAGACGAUGUAUACGGACUGACUCCUGCCCGGUGCUGGAAGGUUAAGAGGAUUGGUUAGCCCUUUUUGGGCGAAGCUGAGAAUUUAAGCCCCAGUAAACGGCGGUGGUAACUAUAACCAUCCUAAGGUAGCGAAAUUCCUUGUCGGGUAAGUUCCGACCUGCACGAAUGGCGUAACGACUUCUCUACUGUCUCAACCAUGAACUCGGCGAAAUUGCAGUACGAGUAAAGAUGCUCGUUUCGCGCAGCAGGACGGAAAGACCCCGUGACCUUUACUAUAGUUUGGUAUUGGUGUUUGGUUUGGCUUGUGUAGGAUAGGUGGGAGACUGUGAAGCAUGGACGCUAGUUUGUGUGGAGUCGUUGUUGAAAUACCACUCUGGUCAAUCUGGAUGUCUAACUUCGGGCCAUGAUCUGGUUCAGGGACAGUGCCUGAUGGGUAGUUUAACUGGGGCGGUUGCCUCCUAAAGUGUAACGGAGGCGCCCAAAGGUUCCCUCAGCCUGGUUGGCAAUCAGGUGUUGAGUGUAAGUGCACAAGGGAGCUUGACUGUGAGACUGGCAGGUCGAGCAGGGACGAAAGUCGGGACUAGUGAUCCGGCGGUACGUUGUGGAACGGCCGUCGCUCAACGGAUAAAAGGUACCUCGGGGAUAACAGGCUGAUCUUGCCCAAGAGUCCAUAUCGACGGCAUGGUUUGGCACCUCGAUGUCGGCUCGUCGCAUCCUGGGGCUGGAGUCGGUCCCAAGGGUUGGGCUGUUCGCCCAUUAAAGCGGUACGCGAGCUGGGUUCAGAACGUCGUGAGACAGUUCGGUCCCUAUCCGCUGCGCGCGUUGGAAAUUUGAGAAAGGCUGUCCUUAGUACGAGAGGACCGGGACGGACGAACCUCUGGUAUGUCAGUUGUACCGCCAGGUGCAUGGCUGAUUGGCUACGUUCGGGAGGGAUAACCGCUGAAGGCAUCUAAGCGGGAAGCCUGUUUCGAGAUGAGUUCUCCUGGCAUCCUUUGGGUGUGUGAGGCUCCUUAGAGAUGAUGAGGUUGAUAGGCCGGGUAUGGAAGCGUUGUAAGGCGUGGAGUUGACUGGUACUAAUAGGCCGAAGACUUAUUCAC